rnacentral:misc_RNA from 1 species
AAGUCGUAACAAGGUAACCGUAGGUGAACCUGCGGUUGGAUCAUUAGAAUAGACUAGGGAUUUUAUAAAUCUCUGGGGGUUUAUACUUUACGGUUGAACCCUCAGUUUCACUGGGACUCAUACUCCUGGGGAACAUCACACGGUGAACCUGUAAAUGUUUGGGCCUUUACCUUUAAAAGUAAAGGUUUCACUAUGCAAUUCAAAGUUUUAUUGACCGUAAUUUAUUACAACUUUUGACAACGGAUCUCUUGGCUCUC